rnacentral:misc_RNA from 1 species
GUACAUGUAGUGCGGCGCCCUUGCUUCACCGCCUCCUGCUUCAUUCUUCAAAAUUGUGGAACACCUGGCCGAACACCCACUAACCGCAUGAGUUCGAUUGGCCAGCAUGUUAAUAUCGGUGACGCGGAUGACUACACCUACACUGAAGACCCGGCCGGUCAGCGGGUUAAAGUGCCAGUCUCAAAGGAGUACGUAUUCAAGGUGGUCAUACUCGGUGACUACAGCGUAGGGAAAACGUCGCUCAUCAAGCGGUUGCUUUCUAUUCCGGCUUCCUGUGCAUCUCCACGACGCCAUGAAGAUUGCUCUGACAUGGACGACAGCGUCGGCGACAGUGAUGCCGAUGACGUGCUGGCGACGGUGACGCCAACCGUGGGCACCGAUUUUUACUCACUCACCCUACCCGAUGUCGUCCCCGGUGCGUCCGUGCGACUCCAAAUAUGGGACACGGCUGGAUUGGAGAAGUAUGCGGCGAGCUACGAAAGCACGUUGAGAAACGCGUCCUUUGUCAUCUGCGUCUUCGAUGUGACGAACCCCAGCAGCUUGCACAGUGUGGUGGACCGCCAUCUCUCCAUCGUGGCGGAUCACGUGCCUCACCUCGACCAGAGCGACAUCAUGGUGGUGGCGAACAAAAUAGAUAUCAUCGCCGAUGUGUCGACGAACAGCGAAGCGCUCCGCAGUGCGCGAAAACGGGCCCGGCUUCCGGAAAACGCGUUUGUAAUCGCCAUAGAUGAAGACGCUUCUGUGGACACGAACGACAGCAGCCCUGACGUCUUCACAAGCGCUGAGGGUGCUAGCGACAACGCUAUCGUGACGGCACGGAAGGUGCAGGAGGAGGUGUUUGAUAUCUUCACCGACGUCCACUACGCCGAGGUGAGCGCCAAGACGAAGCAGCAUCUUCGGGAAAUGUUACAUGCCGUCUGCUACGCGCUGCUGCGAAACAGCGUCGGUGACAACCCGAACAUCCGGGUUCCCGAUGGAGCACCGCCGAGUGAGGUGUUCGCGCACACAGUAUUGCCACCGCACUCCAGUGCGAAAUGUUCGACAGGUGCCAGUGCAGGCACCUUCUCGGCUCCUCAGCUUGACCCGGCCACCAAGACGCCUCCUGCGGCGGUGCCGCGAGACUCGCCAACCACGGGCAGCUUGCAGCCACCACCGAGAACAACUCCCGCGCCCCCUGCCGCCAGCUGGCGUUCUAAUGAGGCCACUUCGUUUGACUUGGCGCCGACACACUUCAGUUCGAAGGCGGUUUUCUCUCCGGCGGAAGGAUCCGAAGGUGCCAUUGGCAAAUCGGGAGGUGAUGACUCUGCCCCGCGGCAUGUAGGCUCCGCUGGCGACAGCCCCGUUGAUGGGUCCUCCACACGGCUGCCGACGCCACGAGGGGAUCUUGCAAAAGCAGUAGAUGCUGGCGGAGUGCACCUUGACCUGACGGCUGGCUCGACGGAGCCGCGGACUGGGCCAGAUCCGAAAGAGGAUCCCAAGGCGCGAAAGGAGCGAGAGCAGGCAGAGAUGAAGGCUGUGCUGAGCCGUGCAGGCGGGAGGAAAGUGAACCCCAAUGGCGGCGGUGCCGACACAGGUAGCUUGGCGGCAUGGUUGCAGAGUGAUGCAGAUAGAAUGGAAAAUGACGUCGCUCUCGGGCUGAAGAAGGCCGGUGAUGCGCCGUCUGCCGCUCGCCCAGCGCCUGUCUCCUCUAUUCUGGACUCGCACGGAGUUCAGGAUCAUUGUAAAGGUAAUCAGGGCACCCGAGGCCGUGACUCUGACGAUGAUGACGACGGUGCGCGCAUGCAGGUGCAGCUAAAGGAGCGAUUUGCUCAGAUAGAACACGACAUACGCCAGAACGCCGCUGCAGCAAAUCAGCGCGCCAAGAAGGCCAAGAAGAAGACUAAAGCGAAGGGAAAGUGCAACUGCUGCGUACUGUGAGCAUCACGAGGCGCUGGUUCUGUGUAGACGAGUGAGGGGCGUAGGCGAUGGCCUGCCCUGGUUUCCUCCUUUGAUCGCUCCUCCCCCUUUAUGCCCCUGGAUUUCCUGUCUUAUUGGUGCGGCGUGCAAGUCUUGGCGUGUGCUGCGUUGCGCGGCGCCGCUCUCCGUCUCGUGACUGUUUCUCCUUGAUGUUUUUUUUUUUGUUUGGUUGGCGCUGCCUUCCUGCUCUUCUUUUUCUCGUCCUCACAAGUUUCCUCUCACCGCCCGUCGCUUGUCCUCCUCGCUCCUUUUCUCCUAGCUCUCCUCGUUGCUGUGUGUGCAGCGAGGCACCAGGACCUUUAUGUUCGUUUGCUGAGAG